UUAAAAAAGCCCACAGGCUGGUCUGAAGAGGAAGACAAACAUAAAGAUGAAGUGCUUAAUUCAAGGUCACACAAUGUCGGGGAUGGACCUCCAGAUUUCCUUACUGGAAAACAAGCUCAGGGCUCCCACUGAUUGUACAUUAUGGUGAGACGUGGUCUUGUAACACAGUGGUUAAGAAUGUGACUUUGGAGCCAGCCUGCUAGGGGCUGAAUUCUGACUCAGCCAUUUACUAACUGUGUGACCUUAGGUCACAGAAUUUUCCACACUCCUUGACAGAGGUGCUUAACCCUUAUCCAUCAGCAUUCUCAGACAGCACCUCCGGUUAGGGACAGUAUCUGACCGUCCGACAUCCCUGCAGCCCCCAUGUGUCACACAGACUCAGCCUCAGGUAGAUGGUUUCCGUAGAUGGUGGCUUUCUUUGGACCCUUGACAUCAACCAGUUACUAUUUGACUCUUCUGCAGAACCCCAUGUUGACCCCUGCUUUGAGGUGGCAGAGUUAACACUACUCUUCGUUAUAAGCUCUCGUCUGGGGCAACUCAGAAGAACGGGACCAGAUGUGCAGAGGUAAUGAAUACCAGGGAAUCAGGAAACCACUGGAUCAGUUCUUUGAGCCACAGAACAACACUCAUCCCAGCAGCUGGGAAGCUAUCUGCAAAAGUCCAUCUGCAGAAAGGGCUUCCUGGUCUUGCGUGUGGCUGGGCCAUUUCUCUGGAUGCAGGUUUUUCAUUAUACAGUCUUCUCAAAGAACCACCUGCUCUCAACACC
rnacentral:lncRNA from 1 species